AUGGCGUCGCAGGCGAUCGAGGUGAACAGGGAGGGCGCGGAGGUGUACCAUGGUGCGGCGCUGUGUGCCGAGAAGGCGGUGGAGCUGUUGGCAGAGACCAACAUGCCACUGGGCCUGCUGCCGCUAGCGGACAUCGUGGAGAUCGGGAGGCUAGUCUCGUAUGCCACCGAGGUGACGGCCUUUGUCGAAGACCGCAAGAUGAAGCGCAUCACGGGGGUUAAGAGCACGGAGCUCCUCAUCUGGGUCACCGUCAGUGACAUGUACAUCGACAAGAACGACCACUCAAAGAUCAGUUUCAAGACGCCCACCGGACUGCGAAGGACCUUCCCUGUCUCCGCCUACGGAAAGGAGGACGACAACAAGCACGACGUGGCCAAAUAA
rnacentral:rRNA from 1 species